AUUGAACGCUGGCGGCAUGCCUUACACAUGCAAGUCGAACGGCAGCACGGGAGUAAUCCUGGUGGCGAGUGGCGAACGGGUGAGUAAAGCAUCGGAACGUGCCCAGUCGCGGGGGAUAACGUAGCGAAAGCUACGCUAAUACCGCAUACGAUCUGUGGAUGAAAGCGGGGGACCGUAAGGCCUCGCGCGAUUGGAGCGGCCGAUGUCAGAUUAGGUAGUUGGUGAGGUAAAGGCUCACCAAGCCGACGAUCUGUAGCUGGUCUGAGAGGACGACCAGCCACACUGGAACUGAGACACGGCCCAGACUCCUACGGGAGGCAGCAGUGGGGAAUUUUGGACAAUGGGCGCAAGCCUGAUCCAGCAAUGCCGCGUGCAGGAUGAAGGCCUUCGGGUUGUAAACUGCUUUUGUACGGAGCGAAAAGGCUUCCACUAAUACUGGGGGCUCAUGACGGUACCGUAAGAAUAAGCACCGGCUAACUACGUG
rnacentral:rRNA from 1 species